AGAGUUUGAUCAUGGCUCAGAACGAACGCUGGCGGCGUGGAUAAGACAUGCAAGUCGAACGGGAUUAUUCGAGUAGUAAUAUGAGAAUAGUCUAGUGGCGAACGGGUGCGUAACACGUGGAUACAUUCCGGGAAGCGGGGGAUAGCCCAGGGAAACUUGGAUUAAUACCGCAUGUGGUCGAGAGACUAAAGACGGGGACCGCAAGGCCUGUCACUUCCUGAUUGGUCCGCGGCCUAUCAGCUUGUUGGUGAGGUAAUGGCUCACCAAGGCUACGACGGGUAGCUGGUCUAAGAGGACGACCAGCCACACUGGAACUGAGACACGGUCCAGACACCUACGGGUGGCAGCAGUCGAGAAUCUGUCACAAUGGGGGCAACCCUGAUGGAGCGACGCCGCGUGGAGGAUGAAGGUUUUCGGAUUGUAAACUCCUGUCAUGAGGGAACAAAGCCAGCAAUGGCCCGAUAGUACCUCAAGAGGAAGGGACGGCUAACUCUGUGCCAGCCGCCGCGGUAAUUC
rnacentral:rRNA from 1 species